rnacentral:rRNA from 1 species
UACGUAGGAAGCAAGCGUUGUCCGGAAUUACUGGGCGUAAAGCGCGUGUAGGCGGUACGACAAGUCUGCUGUGAAAGCGCCCGGCUUAACCGGGCGAGGUCGGUGGAAACUGUCGGACUGGAGGCCGGUAGAGGGGGGUGGAAUUCCCGGUGUAGUGGUGAAAUGCGUAGAGAUCCGGAGGAACACCAGUGGCGAAGGCGACACGCUGGGCCGUACCUGACGCUAAAGCGCGACAGCAUGGGGAGCAAACGGG